rnacentral:rRNA from 1 species
GCCAGCAGCCAUGUUAUCCUGCAACUUACAACUGGCAACCCACAGAAGCUCAGCAGGUGUGAGCCUAGUCAGUACCUGGAUGGGAGACCUCCUGAGAAAAACUAAGGUUGUUGCUGGAA